GUCACAACGAAACGUAUCAUAAAGGAAAAUUUCCUGUCAAGUGAAUGUGAUCCAAUGUACUCCGUAAACCAUACUUGUUCACCGCUGCAUAAGCAGCUCUAAAUCCUCCACCAUAGGCUGGAGAAGCAUCAUGGGCAAUCUGGUGCAUGAAAAACUCACCGAGCUUACUCUCUGCUUGAGAUUUUCCUCCUUUCUUCGAUGAUGACCAUGUAGACGAGGACGAAGCAGUUGAUGUGGAUGGCAUAUUUCUUGAUCCAGGCACUACCUCUGAUUCAAGCCACAUGUGUGAAAGCACUUGGCAGAUUCCUUCUUCGACUUCAGGGG
rnacentral:misc_RNA from 1 species